rnacentral:RNase_P_RNA from 2 species
GAAGCUGACCAGACAGUCGCCGCUUCGUCGUCGUCCUUUCGGGGAGACGGGCGGAGGGGAGGAAAGUCCGGGCUCCAUAGGGCAGGGUGCCAGGUAACGCCUGGGGGGGAAACCCACGACCAGUGCAACAGAGAGCAAACCGCCGAUGGCCCACGUAAGUGGGAUCAGGUAAGGGUGAAAGGGUGCGGUAAGAGCGCACCGCGCGGCUGGUAACAGCCCGUGGCACGGUAAACUCCACCCGGAGCAAGGCCAAAUAGGGGUUCAUAAGGUACGGCCCGUACUGAACCCGGGUAGGCUGCUUGAGCCAGUGAGCGAUUGCUGGCCUAGAUGAAUGACUGUCCACGACAGAACCCGGCUUAUCGGUCAGUUUCACUU